rnacentral:rRNA from 2 species
ACGAGGCGAACCGGGGGAACUGAAACAUCUAAGUACCCCGAGGAAAAGAAAUCAACCGAGAUUCCCCCAGUAGCGGCGAGCGAACGGGGACCAGCCCUUAAGCGUGUGAAAGGUUAGACGAACGGAUUGGGAAGUCCGGCCAGAGCGGGUGAUAGCCCCGUAGUCGAAAAUCUGAUCACGUGAAAUCGAGUAGGUCGGGGCACGAGAAACCUUGACUGAAGACGGGGGGACCAUCCUCCAAGGCUAAAUACUCCUGGCUGACCGAUAGUGAACCAGUACCGUGAGGGAAAGGCGAAAAGAACCCCGGCGAGGGGAGUGAAAUAGAUCCUGAAACCGUGUGCGUACAAGCAGUAGGAGCAGGCAAGUCCUGUGACUGCGUACCUUUUGUAUAAUGGGUCAGCGACUUAUAUUCAGUGGCGAGCUUAACCGUAUAGGGGAGGCGUAGAGAAAUCGAGUCUUAACUGGGCGACCAGUCGCUGGAUAUAGACCCGAAACCGGGCGAUCUAUCCAUGAGCAGGGUGAAGGUUGAGUAACAUCAACUGGAGGCCCGAACCAGGAUCUGUUGAAAAAGAUUUGGAUGACUUGUGGAUCGGAGUGAAAGGCUAAUCAAGCCCGGAGAUAGCUGGUUCUCCUCGAAAGCUAUUUAGGUAGCGCCUCACGUAUCACCACCGGGGGUAGAGCACUGUUUCGGCUAGGGGGUCAUCCCGACUUACCAACCCGAGGCAAACUCCGAAUACCGGUGAGUGCAGCGUGGGAGACACACGGCGGGUGCUAACGUCCGUCGUGAAAAGGGAAACAACCCAGACCGUCAGCUAAGGUCCCCAAAUCCUGGUUAAGUGGGAAACGAUGUGGGAAGGCUCAGACAGCUAGGAGGUUGGCUUAGAAGCAGCCAUCCUUUAAAGAAAGCGUAAUAGCUCACUAGUCGAGUCGGCCUGCGCGGAAGAUGUAACGGGGCUAAACCAGGUACCGAAGCUACGGGUUCAUCCACUAGGAUGAGCGGUAGAGGAGCGUCGUGUAAGCCAAUGAAGGUGAGUUGAGAAGCUUGCUGGAGGUAUCACGAGUGCGAAUGCUGACAUGAGUAACGAUAAGGGGAGUGAAAAACUCCCCCGCCGGAAGACCAAGGUUUUCUGUUCGAUGCUAAUCAGAGCAGAGUGAGUCGGCCCCUAAGGCGAGGCGGAAACGCGUAGUCGAUGGGAAACGGGCUAAUAUUCCCGUACCGGACAUGAUUGCGAUGGGGGGACGGAGAAGGCUAGGUGAGCCAGGCGUUGGUUGUCCUGGUGAAAGUGAGUAGGCUGGGGUCUUAGGUAAAUCCGGGACCCUUCAAGGCCGAGACACGAGACGAACGGUCUUUGGACCGGAAGUCAUUGAUGCCACGCUUCCAGGAAAAGCCUCUAAGCUUCAGAUAAUGUGCGACCGUACCCCAAACCGACACAGGUGGUCAGGGUGAGAAUCCCAAGGCGCUUGAGAGAACUCGGGUGAAGGAACUAGGCAAAAUGGUGCCGUAACUUCGGGAGAAGGCACGCCGGCGUAGGGUAGAGGGACUUGCUCCCCGAGCCCGAACCGGUCGAAGAUACCAGGUGGCUGCAACUGUUUAGUAAAAACACAGCACUCUGCUAACGCGCAAGCGGACGUAUAGGGUGUGACGCCUGCCCGGUGCCGGAAGGUUAAGUGAUGGUGUUAGGCCUCGGCCGAAGCUCUUGAUCGAAGCCCCGGUAAACGGCGGCCGUAACUAUAACGGUCCUAAGGUAGCGAAAUUCCUUGUCGGGUAAGUUCCGACCUGCACGAAUGGCGUAAUGAUGGCCACGCUGUCUCCACCCGAGACUCAGUGAAAUUGAAAUCGCCGUGAAGAUGCGGUGUACCCGCGGCUAGACGGAAAGACCCCGUGAACCUUUACUAUAGCUUCACACUGGACACUGAUGUUGCCUGUGUAGGAUAGCUGGGAGGCUUGGAAACCCGGACGCCAGUUCGGGUGGAGCCAACCUUGAAAUACCAGCCUGGCAUCAUUGGUGUUCUCACUCAGGUCCGUCAUCCGGAUCGAGGACAGUGUGUGGUGGGUAGUUUGACUGGGGCGGUCUCCUCCCAAAGAGUAACGGAGGAGCACGAAGGUACCCUCAGCACGGUCGGACAUCGUGCAAUGAGUGCAAGAGCAUAAGGGUGCUUGACUGCGAGACAGACACGUCGAGCAGGUGCGAAAGCAGGUUCUAGUGAUCCGGUGGUUCUGUAUGGAAGGGCCAUCGCUCAACGGAUAAAAGGUACUCCGGGGAUAACAGGCUGAUACCGCCCAAGAG